GGAUCCAGACUUUGAUCCUGGCUCAGAUUGAACGCUGGCGGCAUGCCUUACACAUGCAAGUCGAACGGCAGCGCGGGGCAACCUGGCGGCGAGUGGCGAACGGGUGAGUAAUAUAUCGGAACGUGCCCUGGAGUGGGGGAUAACGCAGCGAAAGUUGCGCUAAUACCGCAUACGAUCUAAGGAUGAAAGUGGGGGAUUCGCAAGAACCUCAUGCUCCUGGAGCGGCCGAUAUCUGAUUAGCUAGUUGGUGGGGUAAAGGCCUACCAAGGCAUCGAUCAGUAGCUGGUCUGAGAGGACGACCAGCCACACUGGAACUGAGACACGGUCCAGACUCCUACGGGAGGCAGCAGUGGGGAAUUUUGGACAAUGGGCGAAAGCCUGAUCCAGCAAUGCCGCGUGAGUGAAGAAGGCCUUCGGGUUGUAAAGCUCUUUUGUCAGGGAAGAAACGGUGAAGGCUAAUAUCCUUUGCUAAUGACGGUACCUGAAGAAUAAGCACCGGCUAACUACGUGCCAGCAGCCGCGGUAAUACGUAGGGUGCAAGCGUUAAUCGGAAUUACUGGGCGUAAAGCGUGCGCAGGCGGUUUUGUAAGUUUGUCGUGAAAGCCCCGGGCUCAACCUGGGAAUUGCGAUGAAGACUGCAAGGCUUGAAUCUGGCAGAGGGGGGUAGAAUUCCACGUGUAGCAGUGAAAUGCGUAGAGAUGUGGAGGAACACCGAUGGCGAAGGCAGCCCCCUGGGUCAAGAUUGACGCUCAUGCACGAAAGCGUGGGGAGCAAACAGGAUUAGAUACCCUGGUAGUCCACGCCCUAAACGAUGUCUACUAGUUGUCGGGUUUUAAUUAACUUGGUAACGCAGCUAACGCGUGAAGUAGACCGCCUGGGGAGUACGGUCGCAAGAUUAAAACUCAAAGGAAUUGACGGGGACCCGCACAAGCGGUGGAUGAUGUGGAUUAAUUCGAUGCAACGCGAAAAACCUUACCUACCCUUGACAUGUACGGAAGCCACGAGAGAUCGAGGUGUGCUCGAAAGAGAACCGUAACACAGGUGCUGCAUGGCUGUCGUCAGCUCGUGUCGUGAGGUGUUGGGUUAAGUCCCGCAACGAGCGCAACCC
rnacentral:rRNA from 1 species